rfam:Pseudocohnilembus persalinus scaffold1227, whole genome shotgun sequence.
AGUCCCGUGGCCCAGUUGGUUAAGGCGUACGACUAAUAAUCGUAAGAUCGGCGGAUCGAGACCGCCCGGGACUA